UACGUAGGGUGCAAGCGUUGUCCGGAAUUAUUGGGCGUAAAGAGCUCGUAGGUGGCGGGUCACGUCGGGUGUGAAAGCCCGGGGCUUAACCCCGGGUUUCGCAUUCGAUACGGGUCUGCCUGGGGUCCGGCAGGGGAGACUGGAACUUCCUGGUGUAGCGGUGAAAUGCGCAGAGUAUCAGGAGGAACACCGGUGGCGAAGGCGGGUCUCUGGGCCGGUACCGACGCUGGAGGAGCGAAAGCGUGGGGAGCGAACAGG
rnacentral:rRNA from 1 species